UACGAAGGGGGCUAGCGUUGCUCGGAAUUACUGGGCGUAAAGCGUGCGCAGGCGGUUUUGUAAGACAGAUGUGAAAUCCCCGGGCUCAACCUGGGAACUGCGUUUGUGACUGCAAGACUCGAGUGCGGCAGAGGGGGGUGGAAUUCCACGUGUAGCAGUGAAAUGCGUAGAGAUGUGGAGGAACACCGAUGGCGAAGGCAGCCCCCUGGGUCGACACUGACGCUCAUGCACGAAAGCGUGGGGAGCAAACAGG
rnacentral:rRNA from 1 species